AUUGAACGCUGGCGGCAUGCUUUACACAUGCAAGUCGAACGGCAGCGCGGGCUUCGGCCUGGCGGCGAGUGGCGAACGGGUGAGUAAUGCAUCGGAACGUGCCCAGUAGUGGGGGAUAGCCCGGCGAAAGCCGGAUUAAUACCGCAUACGACCUGAGGGUGAAAGCGGGGGACCGAAAGGCCUCGCGCUAUUGGAGCGGCCGAUGUCGGAUUAGCUAGUUGGUGGGGUAAAGGCUUACCAAGGCGGCGAUCCGUAGCUGGUCUGAGAGGACGACCAGCCACACUGGGACUGAGACACGGCCCAGACUCCUACGGGAGGCAGCAGUGGGGAAUUUUGGACAAUGGGGGCAACCCUGAUCCAGCCAUGCCGCGUGCGGGAAGAAGGCCUUCGGGUUGUAAACCGCUUUUGUUCGGGAAGAAAUCCUCUGGGCUAAUACCCCGGGGGGAUGACGGUACCGGAAGAAUAAGCACCGGCUAACUACGUG
rnacentral:rRNA from 1 species